rnacentral:rRNA from 1 species
GACGAACGCUGGCGGCGUGCCUAAUACAUGCAAGUAGAACGCUGAAGGAGGAGCUUGCUCUUCUGGAUGAGUUGCGAACGGGUGAGUAACGCGUAGGUAACCUGCCUGGUAGCGGGGGAUAACUAUUGGAAACGAUAGCUAAUACCGCAUAACAGUAGAUGUUGCAUGACAUUUACUUAAAAGGUGCAAUUGCAUCACUACCAGAUGGACCUGCGUUGUAUUAGCUAGUUGGUGGGGUAACGGCUCACCAAGGCGACGAUACAUAGCCGACCUGAGAGGGUGAUCGGCCACACUGGGACUGAGACACGGCCCAGACUCCUACGGGAGGCAGCAGUAGGGAAUCUUCGGAAAUGGACGGAAGUCUGACCGAGCAACGCCGCGUGAGUGAAGAAGGUUUUCGGAUCGUAAAGCUCUGUUGUAAGAGAAGAACGAGUGUGAGAGUGGAAAGUUCACACUGUGACGGUAUCUUACCAGAAAGGGACGGCUAACUACGUG